rnacentral:lncRNA from 1 species
ACUUCCUUGAAGACACCUGCCAUGAACUCUUUCUCCAGCAGCGCUGAGGAGUGCGACAUUCAGGAAAUGGCAAUGCGGCAGUAAGGAAGGAAUCUGUGCCCUUUAAUGACCUAGAGGAGUAGAUCCACUUCGCCACCUGGACCGGCCAGACUAAUGUGGCCCGGACUCUCAGCUGGACUGACAGGCAAAAUAUCUGUGUCCGUGUACGUUAUUCAUCUGUCACUGGGUCAAGGUCUCCGGGACAGACCCCCUACAGCUGGCGCUCCGUGUGAGGAAUGCUGCGAAGGAUCACGACGGACCCCCCAAAAUGAAGGUGAAAAGGACCGCAGAGUCAGUGAGUCAGAUACAAAGCUGGAAUAAGAGGAAUGACCACUUCGUCUGACAGACCUGUUGCUGCACACAUCUGUACCCUUCGGUCAACAGAACCCGAUGCAAAGAACAGAAAAGGGAGAGAUGUGGGAGUUCAGACAGGCUGGUGGCGUGUCCAGAAUUUAUUCCUUCCGGCCUAUAUCACCCAAACCUGAAAAGGGAAAGAAGGAUGUGAAGAAAAUAAUAUAGGAGGAAGAAGAAUGAAGAAACAGCGGGCAAGAAAAAGAAGAAGACUAGAAAGAGAAGAUGAAGCAGGAUAAAGUGGAGGAGAAAUAGCUUUACUGAAUGCUCCCAUAUUCCUCUUUUUUGGGUUGUGAACUUGUUCCAUUCAUUGUGGCAUCUUCCUUGUUUGAAGCUGAAUCUGGAGCAACAGUUCUUUUGGUAAAUGCUGGCAAGGUAAGAAGAAAAAGAAAAAUAAACCUAGGUGAAUAUAAAACUGGCCUAAAAAAUUAAUUUUGCAGAAGGUAGUUAAUGUAUCAUGGUAUUUGAUCGAGUUUUCUAUAAUUAAACUUCACAUGGACUAACAGACCUCCAAGCUAAGAAUAAAUACACUCAAUUUAUGACAUUUAAAAAAAACACGAGAAUUAAACUUUUUAUUUUAUUUGAAGAAUACCUGAGAGUAAAAAAUGUGUGCUUCGUCAGGAUACAAUGAUAUAAACCACACCGGUGUGCACGUGCACACGCACACACACUUGCACACUCGCAAAGAAUUUUAGAGGCAGAAAUCUUAAGGGCUCCUUUUUAUGGAAUCCUCUUUAUUACAACUUCUAGUCUAUUGAAAGUAGACCUGGAGUUUGUGUUUACUGUUCUUUUACUAUCUCCUACUCCUCGUCUGAGCUAUAGAUGCCUAUAUCCAACUGUCUGUGUGAAAUCUUCUCUCCUUAUCUCUACUCUCUGAUGCCUGCUCAUUCCUUACUCUUCUCCAACUUGAAAAAUGAUAUACCCGUCUGCCCAGUUUCUCAAACCGUGGUUCCUCUCUUCCUUUGUCCUGUCUGAUCCAUCCAUUCAGUUUAAGAGCGAGCUCUAAUGACUCUCCCUAUCAAUUUCACCUGAGUCCUGAUUCACACCAUCCCCAUUACUCUCAUCAGCCCCCAAGUCACCAUUGUCUCCCUUUCUGUUUUCUUCUUGCUCCCUUACGAUCCUUUCUCCACACCACAACCACAGUUACCUUUCGGAAAAGUCAAUCAAAUUACGUCAUUCUCCUGCAUGACUCCCUCAUCCUGCCCUUAAUGGUCGCCCAGUGAACUCAGAAUAAAAUCCACACAUCUGACUGUGGCUGCACCCUCUCACUCACUCGCUCAGUAGCCCGUAUCUCUAGGAGACCAUGGCCCUUUCUUCUCUGGAGCUUUUGUACUUUUUGCC